rnacentral:rRNA from 1 species
UACGGGGGGGAGCAAGCGUUGUUCGGAUUUACUGGGCGUAAAGGGCGCGUAGGCGGUCGUGACAAGUCACUUGUGAAAUCUCCGGGCUUAACUCGGAACGGUCAAGUGAUACUGUCGGACUAGAGUACAGAAGGGGCAACUGGAAUUCUCGGUGUAGCGGCGAAAUGCGUAGAUAUCGAGAGGAACACCUGCGGCGAAGGCGGGUAGCUGGGCCGACACUGACGCUGAGGCGCGAAAGCCAGGGGAGCGAACGGG